rnacentral:lncRNA from 1 species
AAUGGAAGAGCACCUUGAUAUUUUUCAAGAGACAGAAAUAUUUGUUGAGGGAAAGUAAUUUAUUUGGAAGAAAGCAUAGACCUAUAUUGGGCAUCUUACAAAUGGUUUUGUGAAGAUCUCAUUGCUUAAAAUAAGAACUAUAGCCGCUUCAUGAAACAGAGAGAAGCAACACUCUUGUAGUGAUGUUCUUCAGAAUCCACAGUUAACAUGUUAGUCAAGUGCCAUUAUUUGAAUUAUGCAAAACAAGAUAGAAAAUCUAGCAGUGUAGCAGUGCUAGUAUUAGGUAUCCUACUCUAACAAGAAAUUGUGAUUGCUGUAUUUCAAAAACCAUGCAACAACUAGUUUUCAAAUCAGGAACUAUGCUCUCACAGGAUAUUUAGUUGUUUCAAACCCAUCCUAAGAAAGCAGGGCACCUAGUCAUUUUCUAAAACUACAAGUGGCAACCAAGAGUUUUUCAAUAAUAUAAAGCAACAAAUUGGAAAUUUAAACUCAUUUUCACGAAGAAAGAGUAACAAAUUACCAUGUUUUUACAAGUAAGCUCUGAUCAGUUGCUUCUGAGAACUCAAAUUGGUGGUCUGCAUCUACUGCCCAGCUGGUGAUCCAUGUAAUUGCAUGGAAACCUUCUUUGGAUAUCCCCAUAUUGUAUAGAAAUCCUACAUCUAUAUCAGAAUAAUGAAGAAAGUAACACUCUGAAGAAGCUUCUUCCAAAAACUGGCCAUGAUUCUUAUUUGAUGGUCACUAAUUUUCUCUGAAAGCAAAUGGGUACAGCUAGCAGUUGGACGAAUAUUGACUCCCAAAAUACAUAUCCUUUUUCUUAUAUAUUCCAGCCAAUUGCCCAAAAGAACAGGGUUCCUAAAUGAACUAUCUUCACAAAAUAAUGCAAGAAAUAAAUGAAUCUAUUAAAAAAAUAUAAAAAAAAAGAAGGAAAAACCAGCCAUGAAAUGAAGCAAUACAUUCCUAUAGGGAACUUAAAAUUCUGGAUCAUUUCACAUGAACUAUGAACUAUGCAUAUUUCACAUUAACUGUGAACUGUGCAUAAUAAAUUAUGUAUAAUUUAAUAGUGCUCUAAAUGAACAUUCAGAUAUUUCCAUAUUACAUGUCCAUGCAUGUGCUUGUGUGAGCAAUGAUCCUAUGAUUUCAUAGAUUGCUAAUUCUCUAUGUGUGUAUCUUUUACAGGAUAUAUACAACAGAUACAAGAACCAGAUUGUAAAGGAUCAAAGGUAUUUGUAUACUAACGAAUAGGGGAUUACUCAUGUAAGAUUUCCAUUGGCAAAGAUGAUGACAGCAUGUUACAAAGGAAACACCUCUCAGGUUGCAAUUGCCUCCUGGUCCAUUAUGUUGCUGAGUGGCAGCACCUUAAGGUAAAGUCUCCUAGCACAAUUUAAAUAUGAAAUAAAGAAUGCAGUGAAUUACCGAAGCUAGUAAUGCUGACAAAGUUAUCUUCACAUGCAUUCCCUAGUUAAUUAUUGGGUGACAAACUGAAUUUGCCAACCUGUGGCAGGACCACAUAAAUGUUUCCCAAUUGCCAGGUAAGAAACACCCCUAAAAGUCUGCACAGUAUUCAAGUCCAAAUCAUCAACUGCAAUAGUUAAGUUAUACAUUAGAUGCGCAAGGAGGAUGUAAACUGAUAGUAUUCAAUAAAUACAUGUAUACAUGUAUUGCUAAAUAUUGUCUGCUUAUCAUGUUAAAUGAGUUAGAAAACCAAAUGAGCUCCCAUUGAAAAUAGCCUUCAUUAGUUUAAUAGUGAUUAUGUAUGGAACUCAAGGCCCCUGCAAGGUCCCCUGAGUGUCUUCCCAACAUCCAACGUGGGGGAAUACACUUCACUGACAUAUACAAAUGUAUCAUGUACAAAACAAAACUAGGAAUCAAUUGGGCUAGUAGGAUUUCUAUUUGCGCCUGGAGACUAAACUAGUGUUUGAAUAUUUUUGAGCUCACUAAAUCUCUUGAGGUGUCUUCCCAACACGCAUGGCAUGCAGCCAAUGCUAUCGAGGAUAGCCUCACCAAAGAGGGGGCUUCCCAAAUAAAUGUAACCUUGGUCUAGUGGGCAGUCCCUUUUUGUUUUUUUUUUUGUAGAAUUUUGUCCCUG